UACGUAGGGGGCAAGCGUUGUCCGGAUUUAUUGGGCGUAAAGAGCGUGUAGGCGGCCAGGUAGGUCGGUUGUGAAAACUAGAGGCUCAACCUCUAGACGUCGACCGAAACCAUCUGGCUAGAGUCCGGAAGAGGAGAGUGGAAUUCCUGGUGUAGCGGUGAAAUGCGCAGAUAUCAGGAAGAACACCAAUGGCGAAGGCAGCUCUCUGGGACGGUACUGACACUGAGACGCGAAAGCGUGGGGAGCGAACAGG
rnacentral:rRNA from 1 species